rnacentral:rRNA from 1 species
AUUGAACGCUGGCGGCGUGCCUAACACAUGCAAGUCGAGCGGUAACAGGUGUAGCAAUACAUGCUGACGAGCGGCGAACGGGUGAGUAAUGCUUCGGAAUCUACCUUAUGGUGGGGAAUAACUAGCCGAAAGGUUAGCUAAUACCGCAUACGUCCUACGGGAGAAAGCAGGGGAUCGCAAGACCUUGCGCCAAAAGAUGAGCCGAAGUCGGAUUAGCUAGUUGGUAGGGUAACGGCCUACCAAGGCGACGAUCCGUAGCUGGUCUGAGAGGACGACCAGGCAAACUGGGAGUGAGACACGGCCGAGACUCCGACGGGAGGCAGCAGUGGGGAAUAUUGGACAAUGGGGGAAACCCUGAUCCAGCGACUCCGCGUGUGUGAAGAAGGCCUGCGGGUUGUAAAGCACUUUUAGUGGGGAUGAAAUGUGCAGGGUUAAUACCUCUGCAUUUUGACCUAACCCACAGAAAAAGCACCGGCUAACUCUGUGCCAGCCGCCGCCGUAA